rnacentral:lncRNA from 13 species
CUGGACAUCAGUUUCCAAUUAAAUACUAUAGAACAGAUUAUUCUAAUGAAAUUGUAUAUCAAACCAUAUUUGGAACCAACAACAUCAUCCAAGACAUUGUGUUCUCUCUUUGUGCUCUCUCUAGCACCCCAUCGUAUUGGCAGUGGAAGUAAAUGGCACAGGCAAUGCCCUGGACAUCUUCAAGGACAUAGCAGCUGCCUUCGCCAUUCUGCAGAAGGGCAGCAUCACUGUUCUCAGCAAGAAUUGUCUGAUGAAGCCUUCAGAGCCAGACCACUCAGGAUACAUGCUCAUAGCCUCCCAGGUGGGUCCUACCUGGCUGAAAUUAUGGGGGUGUCCUCUGUCUCUUGCAUGGCCUGUGGAAGGGGAGGAGAGGGACAGGAUGACCCCAGCAUGGUCACAUGCAUCACCCCUCAGUGUAAAGGUACAGCAGCCGAACUCAGGCCUUUAAGGUUGUCUUUGUUUGGGGAUUUUUGUUUUUGUUUACAGGACCCCCUUGAAAAGUAG